rnacentral:lncRNA from 1 species
ACCACUACCACCACUACCACACCACUAUUACGAUUUCUAAUACUAUACAACUAUCACUACUACCACUACCACCACCACCACCACCACCACCACCAGCGAAACGACACGAUGUUGACGACGGGCGGAGACGACGGGCGGCGACAGCGACGGCGACGGCGACGGCGGCGACGGCGACGGUGACGGUGAUGGUGACGGUGACGAAAUAGACGAUCGCGAGGUUGGUGGCGGACUAGCGCGGAAUAACGCGCGAGUCACCGUCGACGACGAGUCGAGUCGCUCUGACGAGAUCCUGGGGGGCCGUCAGGCUGGCUGGCACGGAGGCGUCGGGUGGGACACGGGGGCCAUUGGGAGAGAAAGAAGGAUAGAGAGUACAACAGUGAGAGGGGAAAAGAGAGGGCGAGCGGCGACGGGAGUAGAUGCUCAAGAGGGGAGAAAGGGACGACGGCGUCGGCGUCGGCGUCGGUUCUUCGCCGAGGGCGUGGUCCUGGUGAUGAGCGCGUUGUACCGAAGUGUAGAGGCAGAGAUGGAGCGAGCGCGCUGCUUCAGAUGUUGCUGAUACUGAUUAACUUUUUGCUAGUGUCAGUGAGACAUUUCAGUUUAUAAAAAUACAGCGACUUUGAAAAUCUUGUUUGAGAAACGCAGCUCUCGAAGCUCCAAUUUUUGCAUCGACCACCGUUUACGUAAAUUGAAUCAAGUUUUCCGCUAAAAGCGAAAGAUGUACCGCAGAUGCAGUAAUGUUACUAAUGGUAACUACAACUGGUACACUACUUGGAAUCUUUCGUCAUAUUUCACAUCUUUUUACAUUUCUCAGCAAUUCACAUCUUUUAUGCAGAAUAUAUACAUAUACAAAAUUAUGAAGCUAAUAUAAAAGAUGGAAGGUUUUAGUAUGUUGACGGGAAAAAAUGUCAUAAACGGGACCUGAUCUCUGAAAAAUUUCCGCGUCGACUUUCGUCGAUCGAGAUAUUCCCUCUAUUCCGAACACGUUAUCUCUUCUCGCGUCUGUUUUCAUCAAGAUUCUAGCGGUAUAUGAGCUUUCACAGGAAAAGCACCCGGAAAUUCCCUCUCUUCUUUGCUUUCCAGAAAUCUUCGAAACGAUUCUCUCAUUUUCAGUGUUUGAGAUUUUGCGUAUUUUUUUCAGACGAUAUCUUAGCGUUAUUCAUUUUACAAUACUUUGGUGAACGGAAACUAAUAUAAUUGGUUUUGCUGUAAAUUGCCUCUUUUGUCUUUGUUGCUUAUUAGCGGGUUAUAUCAUGGCGUAAAUAAAAGAAAAAAAAACCAACAAUUCAUAAAUGAUAUUUUCCGCAUAUGUGCACAAAGUUGUGUAGAAAAGAUAGACUUGUGUAUUUUAUCUCAUCUAUGAGAUAUGGUACUACAUAGACACAUUUAUAUGUAUGUGUAUAAGAAAUCUUUCUAUAUAAUUCUGGAGAUAUCACAUACUUUGAAAUUCCAAGAAGAAUAAUAUCGUGAUAAUUCUUUAACUAUAAAAAAUGGAAAGAGAAAAUUUUAAUAGAAAUUGCUGGAACUAUAAUAGUCGAAUUCAGAAAGUAAAGCAAAAUAUGCAUUAGAUUAUUGAUCGAAAGUUUCGCAGAUCGGUAUCUAAAGUUUAGAUAGCAAGGAGAAACUUUAGAUACCGAUCUUUUACUUUCUUCCAAAAGCAAAAAGAAAGAUAUCAGAAUGCAUUUCUACGGUAGAAAUCAUAGUUGAAUUAUUUCGAUAAUCCAAACAUGCGUCUUGAUUAUCGCCAGUCUCGUGGUCCGUUCAUUUAUUCUUUGAACUUGGAAGCACUGCAGAAAGAUUAAUUAUACAUAUUCCUUCUCAUUACUAGCUUUAGCUCAUUACCAGCGAGCAUUUAUAGCUCGCUCGUGCAGUCGGAAUUGUAGAAUUGUGUUUACAAAACGAUUAACUAUCAAUCGUGAUUUGGCAAAAAUCGAUUUUUUACAAUGUCGCUGUAUCUGUAUGCUAUAAAUUCAAUCAUACGUGCCGCGUAUAUCUUAUGUGAUUCAUAAUCCUACCGACAAUAUACAGUUUUUCAUUUUAUCUAUACGAUAAAGUUAAUGUGCUUGAUAAUUAAUCAAACAUUAAAGAUUACGAAUUUAAGCUUUCA